UACGAAGGGGGCUAGCGUUGCUCGGAAUUACUGGGCGUAAAGCGCACGUAGGCGGAUUGUUAAGUCGGGGGUGAAAUCCUGGAGCUCAACUCCAGAACUGCCUUCGAAACUGGCGAUCUUGAGUCCGGGAGAGGUGAGUGGAACUGCGAGUGUAGAGGUGAAAUUCGUAGAUAUUCGCAAGAACACCAGUGGCGAAGGCGGCUCACUGGCCCGGUACUGACGCUGAGGUGCGAAAGCGUGGGGAGCGAACAGG
rnacentral:rRNA from 1 species